UACGGAGGGUGCAAGCGUUGCUCGGAUUCAUUGGGCGUAAAGGGUGCGUAGGCGGCGCGGUAAGUCGGGUGUGAAAUCUCGGAGCUUAACUCCGAAACUGCAUUCGAUACUGCCGUGCUUGAGGACUGGAGAGGAGACUGGAAUUUACGGUGUAGCGGUGAAAUGCGUAGAUAUCGUAAGGAAGACCAGUGGCGAAGGCGGGUCUCUGGACAGUUCCUGACGCUGAGGCACGAAGGCCAGGGGAGCAAACGGG
rnacentral:rRNA from 1 species